rnacentral:lncRNA from 1 species
UAAAGAGCCAAAAAAUAUGGCAAUCUUCUCUAGUUUAGCACAAAAUUUAUAUCAAGUUAGACAAAAAAAAAAAAUAAAAAUAAAAAAAAGGGAGGAAAACACAAUUAUUAAAGCCGAAUAAUGGCCCAUGCUUAAGUUGAUUUGCUGGUUGUUAACCACCGGGUACAAUGGGUCCAAUCAAACCAUGAAACAAACACUAGACCACUUCACCAUUUUUCAUUAUUUUUUUUACAUUUUUCAUUAUUUUUUUUAACAUUUAAUAAACCGAAAAUGAAGAAGAAGAAACAAGAGGAAGCUGGGUUCACGCCUGAAGGAAACUCAGUGAUCAUUCUGCAGAAACUCAACAAAAUGGUCCAAGUAUUGAUCAUGGAAACCUUU